rnacentral:lncRNA from 1 species
CCACAAAGCCUGGGCUGGAUGCCAAGCGGCUUCUGAGUCCUGCCUCCUUCCCAGAGCUGGCCCACUGCAACAAAAAGGACCCUAGAGGAAAGAUCAAAGAGGUAGAGUUCAGUAUUAUCUGGAAUGAGAGUGCUGAUUUCUAGAUGAUGAAGGUUGUGGUCUCCAUUUGACAGCCAGGAUUUAAAAGAAAAAAUAGAAGCUGGGAUUAGAGCCAGACUGAGGAGAAACGAUGCAGUCUGUCAGCAAGCCCUCAGGUAACAAUAUCAUAAUUUAUAAAUUCUACCAACAAUAGCAUAGUAAUUAAAGAUGUAAGUUUCCCUUUUCCUUUCUCUAUUUUCAGCAAAAAAUAUUUCAG